ACUGGCGGCGUGCUUACCAUGCAAGUCGAACGAUGAAGCCCUUCGGGGUGGAUUAGUGGCGAACGGGUGAGUAACACGUGGGCAAUCUGCCCUUCACUCUGGGACAAGCCCUGGAAACGGGGUCUAAUACCGGAUAACACCGGCUUCCGCAUGGGAGCUGGUUGAAAGCUCCGGCGGUGAAGGAUGAGCCCGCGGCCUAUCAGCUUGUUGGUGGGGUAAUGGCCUACCAAGGCGACGACGGGUAGCCGGCCUGAGAGGGCGACCGGCCACACUGGGACUGAGACACGGCCCAGACUCCUACGGGAGGCAGCAGUGGGGAAUAUUGCACAAUGGGCGAAAGCCUGAUGCAGCGACGCCGCGUGAGGGAUGACGGCCUUCGGGUUGUAAACCUCUUUCAGCAGGGAAGAAGCGAAAGUGACGGUACCUGCAGAAGAAGCGCCGGCUAACUACGUGCCAGCAGCCGCGGUAAUACGUAGGGCGCAAGCGUUGUCCGGAAUUAUUGGGCGUAAAGAGCUCGUAGGCGGCUUGUCACGUCGGGUGUGAAAGCCCGGGGCUUAACCCCGGGUCUGCAUCCGAUACGGGCAGGCUAGAGUGUGGUAGGGGAGAUCGGAAUUCCUGGUGUAGCGGUGAAAUGCGCAGAUAUCAGGAGGAACACCGGUGGCGAAGGCGGAUCUCUGGGCCAUUACUGACGCUGAGGAGCGAAAGCGUGGGGAGCGAACAGGAUUAGAUACCCUGGUAGUCCACGCCGUAAACGUUGGGAACUAGGUGUUGGCGACAUUCCACGUCGUCGGUGCCGCAGCUAACGCAUUAAGUUCCCCGCCUGGGGAGUACGGCCGCAAGGCUAAAACUCAAAGGAAUUGACGGGGG
rnacentral:rRNA from 1 species